rnacentral:ncRNA from 1 species
GACUUCCACACAAGACUUUCUCUCGGGAGUCGCGGCUG